rnacentral:rRNA from 1 species
CCAGACUCCUACGGGAGGCAGCAGUGGGGAAUAUUGCGCAAUGGGCGAAAGCCUGACGCAGCGACGCCGCGUGAGGGAUGAAGGUCUUCGGAUCGUAAACCUCUGUCAGCAGGGAAGAACGGUCACUGUGCUAAUCAGCAGUGAAUUGACAGUACCUGCAAAGGAAGCACCGGCUAACUCCGUGCCAGCAGCCGCGGUAAUACGGAGGGUGCGAGCGUUAAUCGGAAUUACUGGGCGUAAAGCGCUCGUAGGGGGUAUGUCAAGUAAAGGGGGAAAUCGCGGGGGUCAACGUGGGAACUGCCUUGGAGACGGGCAAACUAGAGUGUGUGAGAGGAGAGUGGAAUUCCAGGUGUAGGAGUGAAAUCCGUAGAUAUCUGGAGGAACAUCAGUGGCGAAGGCGAC